UACGUAGGGUGCGAGCGUUAAUCGGAAUUACUGGGCGUAAAGCGUGCGCAGGCGGUUUUGUAAGCCAGAUGUGAAAUCCCCGGGCUUAACCUGGGAAUGGCAUUUGGGACUGCAAAGCUUGAGUGUGGCAGAGGGGACUGGAAUUCCUGGUGUAGCAGUGAAAUGCGUAGAGAUUAGGAGGAAUACCGAUGGCGAAGGCAGGUCCCUGGGCUGACACUGACGCUCAUGCACGAAAGCGUGGGGAGCAAACAGGA
rnacentral:rRNA from 1 species